rnacentral:lncRNA from 1 species
UUAACGUCACCUCAUUCGCAAAGAACUUAAUGAGCACAAAAUAAAUAUCAAUUAAAAGAAACUAAAACCUUAUCCAACACCUCAAAUAAACACCGUACUCAAAUCAAAAGAGAAGGAAUUAAAAAGGUAGGCUUCGCGUAAUAGUAAUCUUUAGGAAAAAGAAUGAAGAAAAAGAAUCCAAUCAAGAGUCCAAUAGAAGUUCCAAUCCCAAAACCAAA